ensembl:lncRNA POLR1HASP POLR1H antisense, pseudogene
UAAUUAAUUGCGAACCGUGUCUCGGGAGCGUUAGAGAUGGAGACUAACGUCUUCCAAGGGAGAUUGCGUCUCCACUUUCACCCUGGUACUGAGAGGUUGAGCACAAAAUUGGUAACCAAUGCUGCGCUUCCAGCAGAUUUUCCCACCAGCACCCAAUCCUGGGAUAUUUAUUCUCUUUGUCUCACAUCCUACAGGAACGCAGUCGCGGGGUAUAUCCCCCUGAAAACCGUACGUUGCCAAAUAAUGAUUUCUUUGGAUUAGAGAACUACAACUCCCCUGGGUCCUGAGCCGGUAUUUCCCUUUUGCGGCUGCACCGUAGUUAAAAACAAAGCUAAGUGUUCUGGGACGUAUAGUUCUAGCGUUCCUUGGGUCCCGCUGGCGAGCGUGGGCUUUCUGCAGCUCGCAACCGGCCUCGUGCUUUGCGGACGGUUCACUGCGCUUGGAAAGGGAUUGGCCUGGGGUACAUCAUCUAAAGAUCCUAGGAUUGCUGCAGGUCAGCAGUCUCCACUGGAAAAAAAGAUCUUGAAUCUAGGUGGUGUGCAUACAACAGCAGCAAGACAGUUGAUAAUGCAGAAAUAUCAGGAGGAGUGUGAAAUACUCUGUAGGGAGCAAGCUGUUUCUCUUGACUACUGGCUUGCCAAAGCAGAGUCUUAUUAUAAUAAAAUAAUAGUGGAAAUGAUGAAAGAAGAGACAGGCAAUGAAAUCUAGAAAAAAAUGGAGGAGAAAACAACCCAGAGCGUAGAAGGACUAAAACAGUACUGUUUGGUACCUGAGAGAGAGAUGAAACACAUAGAAAGGCACAUACAUCAAACAGGAAAGGCUGGAGAAUUUAAGAACAAACCAUUUAGACAAGUACUACAACCCCCCAAUGAAACAAAAUUACCAAAAAUUAUGCCAGAAGGGCAUGGCAUCCAGAACGCACAGAGAAGAAAGCAGGUAAAUGAGAGGGAACAGAUGCAGACUAAGGAUCACCAGGAACGCAUGAUUCGAGGGAGAGAACUUGCAGAACAAAGACUCAAGGAGAGAAUCUUGAGAAGAAGCCAGAGCCAGCUACUUACAUAUGAGAAGCAUGAGAGAGUAAAAGAGAUAAAGGAGUUUGAAAGAGUUAUUGCGUAUCUUCUUUUCCAACCAUGCAGUAGAAGUCGGAUUAAACAUGUAUUUCAAGUCCUCUGAUGAAUCAUGUGAUCUACUAGACCCUGAAGAUACAGUGAAGAGCAAAAGUAAGAUGCUGGCAAUUUGAUGUUUGCACUGUCAUGAAGGAGAUGCACAUUUAGCAGAACUUACAAAGAGAAAUAUAAAAUUACUGCUGAGCUAAGUGUGGUGAAGAAAAGUUCAUGGUACCAUGAAAGCAGAUAACCAGGAGAUCUAACAGGUCCACUACCACUAUUCUCAAUAAUACCUAAAAGAAAUAAUAAGAUAUGGCAUUUAUAAAUGAUGAAUAGGAUUUUAUAAAAUUAUAUACAAUCAGAGAACCAAAAAGCACUCUUGGAAAUCAAAAAGUGAUCAUUUAAAUAAGUAUUUCAAUAGAUCACUUGGAAGAGUAAAUUUGUACUACCACUAAAUAUUAAAAAUGGAAAAACAAUGUCAAGAAAGACAGAAAAACUAUACGAAUACUAGGCUAUCAGUCAAGGAUUUCCUGCAACUUAAUAAUACAAAUUCUAAAAGAAUGGAAAGAUAGAAAUUAUUUAAAAUAAAAAAAUUUCUCC